AUACCUUUCUCAGCCUUUUGGCUAAGAUAAAGUCUAAUAUUUGCUCUUGUCAAUUUAAUAUUUGAUACGUCCACAAUAUGUUCACCUUGAUAUUAAAUUUAUUUUUAUGGGUAUCAAAUAUGAUUUUGUUUGGUCACAAUGCACGGCCAUUGUACUAGUA
rnacentral:snRNA from 1 species